rnacentral:misc_RNA from 1 species
GAUGAAGAACGCAGCGAAAUGCGAUAAGUAAUGUGAAUUGCAGAAUUCAGUGAAUCAUCGAAUCUUUGAACGCACAUUGCGCCCCCUGGUAUUCCGGGGGGCAUGCCUGUCCGAGCGUCAUUGCUGCCCUCAAGCACGGCUUGUGUGUUGGGCCUCCGUCCUCCUCCCGGGGGACGGGCCCGAAAGGCAGCGGCGGCACCGCGUCCGGUCCUCGAGCGUAUGGGGCUUCGUCACCCGCUCUUGUAGGCCCGGCCGGCGCUUGCCGACACAUCAAUCUUUUUUCCAGGUUGACCUCGGAUCAGGUAGGGAUACCCGCUGAACUUAAGCAUAUCAAUAAGCGGACGA